rnacentral:rRNA from 1 species
CAAAACGCUGGCGGCGUGCCUAAUACAUGCAAGUCGAAACGGUUCACCUUUGGGUGAAUAGUGGCGGACGGGUGAGUAAACACGUAGAUGACCUGCCCAAUAGUGGGGAAAUAACACCUCGAAAAGAGGUGCUAAUACCGCAUAAGCUCUACUCUGUGGGGGAAGUAGAGGAAACGGGGCCCUUCGGGGUUUCGGCUAAUGGAGGGGUCUGCGGCGGAAAUUAGCUAGAUGGUGGGGUAAAGGCCUACCAUGGCGACGAUCCGUAGCUGGUCUGAGAGGACGAUCAGCCACACUGGGACUGAGACACGGCCCAGACUCCUACGGGAGGCAGCAGUAAGGAAUAUUCCACAAUGGGCGAAAGCCUGAUGGAGCGACGCCGCGUGAGGGAAGACGCCCCUUUGGGGGUGGUAAACCUCUUUUGUCGGGGAUGACAUGCACUCGCAAGAGUGAUACGACAGUACCCGACGAAAUAAGCCUCGGCUAACUACGUGCCAGCAGCCGCGGUAAUACGUAGGAGGCGAGCGUUGUCCGGAUUUACUGGGCGUAAAGCGCGCGCAGGCGGCCAUGGCAAGUAAGGUGUGAAAUCUCCCUGCCUAACGGGGAGGGUGCAUUUUAGACUGCCAAGCUAGAGGACGGUAGAGGGGGGGUAGAAUUGCUGGUGUAGCGGUGAAAUGCGUAGAGAUCAGCAGGAAUACCCGUGGCGAAGGCGGCCUCCUGGGCCGACCCUGACGCUGAGGCGCGAAGGCUAGGGGAGCGAACGGGAAUUAGAUACCCCGGUAGUCCUAGCAGGUAAACGAUGACCACUAGGUGUGGGGGGGUGUUGACCCCCUUCCGUGCCGAAGCCAACGCAUUAAGUGGUCCGCCUGGGGAGUACGGUCGCAAGACCUAAAACUCAAAGGAAUUGACGGGGACCCGCACAAGCAGCGGAGCGUGUGGUUUUAAUUCGAUGCAAACGCGAAAGAACCUUACCUGGGCUUGACAUGCACUCGCAACACCAAGAAAUUGGUGCCUCCUUCGGGACGGGUGCACAGAUGCUGCAUGGCUGUCGUCAGCUCGUGUCGUGAGAUGUUGGGCUAAGUCCCGCAACGAGCGCAACCCUCGUCUUUAGUUGACUAUCUAAAGAGACUGCCGGAAACAAACCGGAGGAAGGUGGGGAUGAUGUCAAGUCAGCAUGGCUCUUACGUCCAGGGCUACACACACGCUACAAUGGUCGUUACAGCGAGAAGCCACCCAGCGAUGGGAAGCAGAUCUCUAAAAGGCGGCCUCAGUUCAGAUUGCACUCUGCAACCCGAGUGCAUGAAGUCGGAGUUGCUAGUAACCGCGUGUCAGCAUAGCGCGGUGAAUAUGUUCCCGGGUCUUGUACACACCGCCCGUCACGUCAUGGGAGCCGGCAAUACCUGAAGUCCGUGAGCUAACUCCUCUUUUCGGAGAGUGAGAGGCAGCGGCCGAGGGUAGGGCUGGUGACUGGGACG